rnacentral:rRNA from 1 species
CCUACGGGAGGCAGCAGUGGGGAAUAUUGGACAAUGGGGGCAACCCUGAUCCAGCCAUGCCGCGUGUGUGAAGAAGGCCCUCGGGUUGUAAAGCACUUUCAGUGAGGAAGAACGCCUGGUGGUUAAUACCCAUCAGGAAAGACAUCACUCACAGAAGAAGCACCGGCUAACUCCGUGCCAGCAGCCGCGGUAAUACGGAGGGUGCGAGCGUUAAUCGGAAUUACUGGGCGUAAAGCGCGCAUAGGUGGCUUGAUAAGCCGGUUGUGAAAGCCCCGGGCUCAACCUGGGAACGGCAUCCGGAACUGUCAAGCUAGAGUGCAGGAGAGGAAGGUAGAAUUCCCGGUGUAGCGGUGAAAUGCGUAGAGAUCGGGAGGAAUACCAGUGGCGAAGGCGGCCUUCUGGUCUGACACUGACACUGAGGUGCGAAAGCGUGGGUAGCAAACAGGAUUAGAUACCCUAGUAGUC